AUUGAACGCUGGCGACGUGCUUAACACAUGCAAGUCGUGCGAGAAAGCUUUCUUCGGAGAGUGAGUAGAGCGGCGCACGGGUGAGUAACGCGUGGAUGAUCUACCCCCGAGACUGGGAUAACAGUUGGAAACGACUGCUAAUACCAGAUGUUCUUCAUUUCUCAACUUAUGGGGUAAAGGUGGCCUCUAUUUAUAAGCUACCGCUUGGGGAUGAGUCCGCGUUUCAUUAGAUUGUUGGUGGGGUAAUGGCCUACCAAGUCUACGAUGAAUAGCUGGUCUGAGAGGAUGAUCAGCCACACUGGGACUGGAACACGGCCCAGACUCCUACGGGAGGCAGCAGUGGGGAAUAUUGCGCAAUGGGCGAAAGCCUGACGCAGCGACGUCGCGUGAGGGAAGAAGGCUUUCGGGUCGUAAACCUCUGUCAGGGGGGAAGAAACCCUUGGACUCGAAUAGGGUCCUUGGCUGACGGUACCCCCAGAGGAAGCACCGGCUAAUUCAGUGCCAGCAGCCGCGGUAAUACUGAAGGUGCGAGCGUUAAUCGGAAUCACUGGGCGUAAAGCGUGCGUAGGCGGCGCGGUCAGUCAGGUGUGAAAGCCCUCGGCUCAACCGAGGA
rnacentral:rRNA from 1 species